CUUGGAUUAUCAAAAUAUAUUCUGCUGCUUAAGUUUGAAUGAAAACUAUUUUAUUUCAUUAAUUUCCAAAUGUAGCAUCAAUAUUUAGAAAAAAAUUGAGGCUCCUUAAUUUGGAAGUUAGAUUUCUGGCAGUUCAAAUUUCUGGACAAAGCUGUGAGUCAGUCUUCAAACAUCUUCAUGUUCAUACCUUUAGAACAUUCAGUGCUGAUGAUUCAAAGUCACCAACAAAAUUUUCUUUCUUCUUGCAUCUUGAUUUACCAAGACCCAUGUUGAUUUGAUGAUGUCAAAUUAUGCCUGCAUCAACCUCUCUGUGUGUCUGGAGGACUGUGGAUAUCUCAG
rnacentral:lncRNA from 1 species